CAGCCGCCGCGGGAAUACGCAGGGGGCUAGCGUUGCUCGGAAUUACUGGGCGUAAAGGGAGCGUAGGCGGGUCGUUUAGUCAGAGGUGAAAUCCCGGGGCUCAACCUCGGAACUGCCUUUGAUACUGGCGACCUUGAGUAUGGGAGAGGUAAGCGGAACUCCGAGUGUAGAGGUGAAAUUCGUAGAUAUUCGGAAGAACACCAGUGGCGAAGGCGGCUUACUGGCCCAUUACUGACGCUGAGGCUCGAAAGCGUGGGGAGCAAACAGGAUUAGAUACCCCCGUAGUCCCUGUCUCUUAUAC
rnacentral:rRNA from 1 species